UUUGUAUUACGUGCGGAAAUUGUUACCAUUUUCGGCUCGAAAAUGGUAAUUUCCGCACGUAAUACAAA